AAUCCGCGUGUGUUUUAAUACAAAGGCCACAACAUCUUCGAACUUACAGCAAAAAGCAGAGCUCCAUCAACCUCACCAGAUCAACCCGCUCUGUUCCCCGUCCUAGCCUCUGCUCCUGGGUAUUUAUAUUAAAUGUAUUGGACAACUACUGAGGAUACAUUGUUUGAUGUAGUUCUCAUAUGCCAGUGACAAGAGGAGGAUGUCAAGAAUAAAAUAAGGAUGAUAAGAACAUCUUAUGAUCAUGGAGAAAGCAUGAAAGAGAAAGAAUGAUAAGGAGGGGGGAGCUUCCAAGAACAAUGAAGGUAACAUAUAGUUCACCUGCAAAAAUGUCAAGAUCAUCAAGCCUAAACUUUGAGCAAGGGCAUACCUAAUCCAUCUCUUUUACUAUUGUGGCUGAUUAUGAUGGAAGAAAACUGUCAUUUUUGUAUUGUCGUUGCGCUCCCAUAGAUGUAAAAAGUGUAUCAUUUGGGGAUCAUACUAUAUUUGUGAGUGGAUAUUUGUUUCAAAUUAUAUCUACUUAUAUCCAGCGAUAUUGUCUAUAUUUGAUAAA